rnacentral:SRP_RNA from 1 species
GCUGGGCAUGGUGAUGUGUGCAUGUAGUUCCACCCACUUGGGAGGGUGAUGCAGGAGGAUCACUUGGGCUCAGAAGCUCUAGGCUAUAAUGUGCAGUGCUGAUUGGGUAUCUGCACCAAGUUUAACAUUGAUAUGGUGACUUCUUGGGAGUUGGGGGCCCCCAGGUGGCCCAGGUUGGAAAUGGAGCAGGUCAGAACUCCCGUGCUGAUCAUUAGUGGGAUUAUGCCUGUGAAUAGCCACUGUACUCCAGCCUGGGCAACCAUAGUGAGACCCUGUUGCU